UACAGAGGUCUCAAGCGUUGUUCGGAUUCAUUGGGCGUAAAGGGUGCGUAGGUGGCGCUGUAAGUCGGGUGUGAAAUUUCGGAGCUUAACUCCGAAACUGCAUUCGAUACUGCGGUGCUUGAGGACUGGAGAGGAGACUGGAAUUCAUGGUGUAGCAGUGAAAUGCGUAGAGAUCAUGAGGAAGACCAGUGGCGAAGGCGGGGUCUCUGGACAGUUCCUGACACUGAGGCACGAAGGCCAGGGGGAGCAAAACGGGG
rnacentral:rRNA from 1 species